GCUCACGCGGCGGCAGACGGCGUGGGUGGGGCUCCUGCCAACGGCCGCUCUGUGGGAGCGGGGGGGAGCAAGGCGCCGGCUGCGGGGAGGCCUCGGCUGCGUGCCGCUUCGCCGACCGCCCACCGGAGAGGCGGCACGCCAGGAGGAACGGCACUGCUCCGCGCCGGUUGGCGGCGGCCCGCUUAUGUGGAGGUCGGGGCUGUGCCGGGCAGGCUUCUCGUUCCAGGCGAAAUAAAUCUGUGUGAUGAGGAUGCUGUGCUUGGCAUGCAGCGCUGA
rnacentral:lncRNA from 1 species